AACGCGAAGAACCUUACCCAGACUUGACAUGCAGUGGACGAUAGUGGAAACACUAUUUCUCUUCGGAGCCGCUGCACAGGUGCUGCAUGGCUGUCGUCAGCUCGUGCCGUGAGGUGUUUGGUUAAGUCCAGCAACGAGCGCAACCCUUAUCAUUAGUUGCCAUCAUUCAGUUGGGAACUCUAAUGAGACUGCCUGGGUUAACCAGGAGGAAGGUGAGGAUGACGUCAAGUCCGCAUGGCCCUUAUGUCUGGGGCUACACACGUACUACAAUGGUCGGUACAGAAGGCAGCGAAACCGCGAGGUGAAGCAAAUCCCCAAAGCCGAUCUCAGUUCAGAUUGUAGUCUGCAACUCGACUACAUGAAGACGGAAUUGCUAGUAAUGGCGAGUCAGCACAUCGCCGUGAAUACGUUCCCGGGCCUUGUACACACCGGUACUA
rnacentral:rRNA from 1 species